GUGAUAAGAGACGAAAAACCAAAGUUCCGUAAGGACUACAUACCAAAGAUAGCAGAGUUACAAUUCUCUUCGAUCACAAUACUUCAUAAUUUGGAUCUCAUCUGCAGGAUCAAACUAUGAAGCAGAUACUAGCAUUCGUAACCUUGGUGGUUACCCUUCAAGUGGUAGCAGGGAGGGGUCGAUUUGCACCCCUCUACCGAGCAAAAGAUGCUAUCAAAGGGGACUACAUCGUUGUACUCAAGGAUGGCGUCGACCAGGAUGCGAUCUCGGAGUCGAUGAUGAGGACUACCAGGGAACAAGGUGAAACCAUGAUAGUAAGAAAACGACUUCGUAAACUCAUCAACGCUUUCGUCGCAAAGCUUCCAGCCAGGGCUCUCCGAUUG